GAGUUUGAUCAUGGCUCAGAAUCAACGCUGGCGGCGUGCCUCAGACAUGCAAGUCGAACGAGAACCUUCCUUCGGGGAGGGGACAGUGGCGCACGGGUGAGUAACACGUGGGUAAUUUACCUUUGGGUGGGGAACAACAGCCGGAAACGGCUGCUAAUACCGCAUAAUGCAGCGGCAUCGCAAGAUGACAGUUGUUAAAGCGGGGGAUCGCAAGACCUCGCGCCUGAAGAGAAGCCCGCGGCGGAUUAGCUAGUUGGUAGGGUAAUGGCCUACCAAGGCAACGAUCUGUAACCGGCCUGAGAGGGCGGUCGGUCACACUGACACUGACAUACGGGUCAGACUCCUACGGGAGGCAGCAGUCGGGAAUUUUGGGCAAUGGGCGAAAGCCUGACCCAGCAACGCCGCGUGAAGGAUGAAGCUUUUCGGAGUGUAAACUUCAUAAGAAUGGGAAGAAUUAGUGUGGGAUAAUACCCUUCAUGAUGACGGUACCAUUUGUAAGCUCCGGCUAACUCCGUGCCAGCAGCCGCGGUAAUACGGGGGGAGCAAGCGUUGUUCGGAUUUACUGGGCGUAAAGGGCGCGUAGGCGGCGCGACAAGUCACUUGUGAAAUCUCUGGGCUCAACCCAGAACGGUCAAGUGAUACUGUCGUGCUAGAGUGCGGAAGGGGCAACUGGAAUUCUUGGUGUAGCGGUGAAAUGCGUAGAUAUCAAGAGGAACACCUGCGGCGAAGGCGGGUUGCUGGGCCGACACUGACGCUGAGGCGCGAAAGCCAGGGGAGCGAACGGGAUUAGAUACCCCGGUAGUCCUGGCCUUAAACGAUGAAUGCUUGGUGUCCGGGGUUAGAUAGUCCUCGGGUGCCGUCGCUAACGCUUUAAGCAUUCCGCCUGGGGAGUACGUGCGCAAGCAUGAAACUCAAAGGAAUUGACGGGGACCCGCACAAGCGGUGGAGCAUGUGGUUUAAUUCGACGCAACGCGAAGAACCUUACCCAGGCUCGAACGGCAAUUGACAUUCGGCGAAAGCCGGCUCCCGCAAGGGCAAUUGUCGAGGUGCUGCAUGGCUGUCGUCAGCUCGUGUCGUGAGAUGUUGGGUUAAGUCCCGCAACGAGCGCAACCCUUGUCCGCUGUUGCCAUCAGGUUAAGCUGGGCACUCUGCGGAGACUGCCGGUGAUAAACCGGAGGAAGGUGGGGAUGACGUCAAGUCAGCAUGGCCUUUAUGUCUGGGGCUACACACGUGCUACAAUGGCAGAUACAAACCGUCGCGAUGCCGCAAGGUGGAGCUAAUCGGAGAAAGUCUGUCUCAGUUCGGAUUGCAGGCUGCAACUCGCCUGCAUGAAGUUGGAAUCGCUAGUAAUCGCGGAUCAGCACGCCGCGGUGAAUACGUUCCCGGGCCUUGUACACACCGCCCGUCACAUCACGAAAGCUGGCUGUACUAGAAGUCGCCGCGCUAACCCGCAAGGGAGGUACGCGCCUGAGGUAUGGUUAGUGAUUGGGGUGAAGUCGUAACAAGGUAACCGUAA
rnacentral:rRNA from 1 species